CUCAGCAUUUAUGCUAUUCCUUGACAAUUUUUUCUGAUUUCGGUAGCUAACCAGGGACGUGCUUGAUUAAUACUGGGAUGGGAGAUCACCUGGGAAUAUUAGGUGAUGGGAGA
rnacentral:rRNA from 1 species